rnacentral:misc_RNA from 1 species
GGAUCAACUACAGAAAAUAAAUCACAAGUUAUUGUGUGACAUGCUGAAUGAAGCACUUCCAAGUAUACUUGGAGUACCUUCCACAAUGUCUAGGUUCAUGAAACAUGCUGUCGGUCCAAUGCCACGACCUCCUCAGGGAAAGAAGUUAUUGGAACGUGCAUGGGAAAUUGUCGGUGUUUAUGUUCACCCUCCCUGGGAUAGAGCAUUUCAAUCCCUUGACAAUAUAGUAGCGAGGGACUUGAGUUCCACCCCUUGGUCUGGAUUGAUCGAUGAAGAUG